rnacentral:lncRNA from 1 species
CAGCAAUUUAACGGGUCUUCUACUACUCUUCUACUUUUCUACGUUCCUCGUGACCAAGAAAGAAAACCCCGGAUCAUUCUAAUACUCACAGAUCUUCAAAAUUGAAGGUUCGAAGAAUUUCCGGAGCGGUGCAUCGCAAACUCUAUUUAGUAAGGUGUUGGUUUUUUUGGUGUUGGAAUCUUAUUUUUUGGUUAUAUGUUGAAGAAAAAAAAGGGAUUUCGGGUAAGUUUUUUACUCGAUAUGGAUGAAUUUUUAAGAUUUUAACUUCCCUUUUUAUGUUUUUUUGCUUUGACAGUAUACUACUUGGCCUUCCGAUAUUGAUAAAUCUGCUUCCUUGGACGACCUUUCUGGAGUGUUGCGAUUUUUGUUAGGUAAGUUUUUAUUUUGGGGGUGUUUGGAAUUCAUUUAUUUUUGGGGAUUUUGGGUACAUCUGCUUUGCUCGACUUCAUCAAAGGUUCAAUUCCAAAAUUUUUUUUUUUUAAUGUUGUUUAGCUGGAAUUUGAUCAACUGGAAAGAGUUCCUUGUGUCAGUAUUUCUAUCUGGUUUUUACUUUAAGAACGAGGAAAAUUUUCUGCUGAGUGUUGCCACAAUAAUAUGUUGUAAUAAAUUAGGCAGAACCUCUGAAGUGUAGUUAAUGAAAGUAUGAAGUGCAAAUUCAACACCAUUUCAUUUAAUCAGAUUUUGGGUGCAUAAAUUAAUCUGUAUGCGUGUUGAUUUUGCUCAUGUUUGUGUUAAUCCUUCGAUUAUUUGAUCUAUUAGGCAUUGUGCUACUGAAUGCUUAAAGGACGAAAUGUUCAACGUGUAUGAAACGAGGAGGAAUUUAAGAUUGAUAUAUAGGCAACUA